rnacentral:rRNA from 11 species
UUGCACCACUGUGCCAUAUUGAAUACAUCUAUUCUCCUCUGAUUUUGGAAGACAAGCAGGAUUGAGCCAGCUUGUACUUGAGGAGGGGACUACUAGGUUUAAUAGGAGAUUGGACAAA